rnacentral:piRNA from 1 species
UCACGAUAGACCGAACUUGUUGCA